rnacentral:rRNA from 1 species
AUUGAACGCUGGCGGCAUGCUUUACACAUGCAAGUCGAACGGUAACAGGUUAAGCUGACGAGUGGCGAACGGGUGAGUAACGCAUCGGAACGUGCCCGAUCGUGGGGGAUAACGCAGCGAAAGCUGCGCUAAUACCGCAUAAGAUCCGAGGAUGAAAGCGGGGGACUUUAUAGCAAUAUGAGGCCUCGCGCGAUCGGAGCGGCCGAUGUCAGAUUAGGUAGUUGGCGGGGUAAAGGCCCACCAAGCCGACGAUCUGUAGCUGGUCUGAGAGGACGACCAGCCACACUGGGACUGAGACACGGCCCAGACUCCUACGGGAGGCAGCAGUGGGGAAUUUUGGACAAUGGGCGCAAGCCUGAUCCAGCAAUGCCGCGUGCAGGAAGAAGGCCUUCGGGUUGUAAACUGCUUUUGUACGGAGCGAAAAGGUCUUCUCUAAUAAAGAAGGCUGAUGACGGUACCGUAAGAAUAAGCACCGGCUAACUACGUGCCAGCCGCCGCUGUAAAAC